rnacentral:rRNA from 1 species
UACGAAGGGGGCUAGCGUUGUUCGGAAUUACUGGGCGUAAAGGGCGCGUAGGCGGUCGUGUCAGUCGGAAGUGAAAGCCCCGGGCUCAACCUGGGAAUUGCUUUCGAUACUGCACGACUUGAGUUCCGGAGAGGAUGGUGGAAUUCCCAGUGUAGAGGUGAAAUUCGUAGAUAUUGGGAAGAACACCGGUGGCGAAGGCGGCCAUCUGGACGGACACUGACGCUGAGGCGCGAAAGCGUGGGGAGCAAACAGG